rnacentral:lncRNA from 1 species
AAUGUGUCCCUUUCUGCAGAACUGCUUGGAAACAGGACUGGAUACUUAAGAUGAGUGACGUGAGACAGCCAGCCAACCAUCAGGAAACGCUUAUGGAAAGACACAGUUGCAGAGAUAUAGUCAGUGCUUCUUGAAUAAUGCUUUGCUGAAGAUGCCUUCCUGUCAAUGGAGCGGAGGAAGACAGAGGGGAGUGGCCUUUUAAGCCUUGUUGCACAUCAGCAAUGACAAGACUUGUGAGUAGAACACAGAGCCUGCUUUGUUCCUUGACUUUCGGAUCCUCAGCUGCUUCAACUGACAAUCCGCUGGUGCAGGACUUGGGGCUGGGGUGCCCUGCUCUGGCUUAAAUAGUGUGAGUAUCCUGGGAGCUGAAGAUAUGCAGACUAACUGGUCAGUAAGAACAAUCACUGCUUUCAUGGGAGUUGAAGACCUGAAAACAUGCCUGUGACUGUGUAGUUAGGCUCAAGUGUGUAUCAUCCGCCCUCCAACCUUACCCACCAUGACAGGGGCCCACCCAUCCCUCACCCAUGCAAGCUAUUCUGAAGGUAGCUUUGGGGAAAAUAGGUAUGGACAAGUGUGCUGUAUCCAUUGUGAGAUUUUCUAAUAAAGCAAUCUUCUAUGCCUUGA